rnacentral:lncRNA from 1 species
AGCGCGUUUCCGCGCGGCUUGUAGCCAGUUCCUGUUCGACCAUCAUACGACCGUAGCGAAGCGCGGGCGUGCGGAAUCUUCCAAUACAUGCGCACGCAAAAAUACGUCGGUGCCGUCUAUACGUGUGCGUACAAAAGCUCGCAAGUAGUAAUAUACAUGCACGUGUGUACAAUAUACAAACAUGUACAGCUGUGUGUGUUUGUGUAUGUGUACGUGGAUAGUCGUGUGCGCGGUGUCCUCGCUGAAUAUCGUUCGUGUAAGAUCGAGAGUGGCCUCGUGUGCUUCCUACGUGUGUGUUGUGUGUCCCAUGGAUAGUGAACGCCGCGGGAAUUCGUGGUGUGCAAUCGACCAAUGGCAGGCCAAGUAGCAACGGCUAUGCACCAAUCAGCGAACAGAAAUGCUUGCGAAUGCGCGCCUCAGUUACCACCGGAUGCCGAUCAUAGUUGGUAGUGGGGAUAAACUGAGAGUGCGGCACAGGCUACGCGCUCGAGCGCAUCCUCGUUCGUCGCUGCUCGCCAUCGGAGUCGGUCGUGUUUAACGCUCGAAUCUUCUCUCCGGCAGUUUACCGAACUCGAAGAUAGAGACCUCUCGUCAUUUGCCAGAGACUCGACGCUAUCGUGGUGUUACCACGUUUGCCAUCGAUAACGACCACGGCAUUGUUCCUUCGUCUUUGCUUCUCGUCGUCAGUUCGGAUCAAACCGCGGUCUGUGAUACUUUGUCGGCCUUGGUUCUUUGAAAUAUAAAGCGUUAUGUAUCGUCGUGAUAAUAGAACUCGUGUCGCGUAUCCGUUUGAUUUUUGCUGUGCCGUGGCGUGGUCCGCGAAUUGCGUGCGUGGCGUUUCACCGAGACCGAGCCUAACUGGAAACGAGCACCGAAUUCCAAAUGAUCGACUGUGGAACCAAGUAACUACCUUGGACCGUCACUGUGCACCACUUUGUAUUUUUUUUGCUAUUUAUCUGUACAAGUGAUCGCGCGAUUUCUAAAGGUCAGUUAUCGUGGUAAUGCGCAUUUGCAUUCGACAAAUGUUUUCCGGAUAUUUCCUUUAAAAAUUCAUCAACUAAUAAUUUAUUUCAUUAUUUAAUCCGCAUUUCUAUAUUUCUUUGCUCGCGAUUAUAAUGAUUUGCAGUUUUUCACUUUCGCAUUUGUAUUAAAAAAAUCAAAUACGCCGUACGUAAUUUACCGUAUAAAACAUUUGAACGCGCGAUUGUCCGAUUAGAUCCGUUCGUGUCCAAUCGUUCUACAUACAUACAUGCAUACAUACAUACAUAUAUACAUGUACACUUACGUACGACGUGUGCAGUGAGCUCCAAUAAAUGCCAGCGCGGCACAUGGAGGGUCCAACAGAUCUCUCGCAGAUUUAAUCGUGAGAGCCUCCGAGGAGAAAUAAAAAUAUGGAACGAUGCGAGAAGAUAUUACUGAUUUGGUGAAUAUUGAUCUGACGAUCAGAAACUUAUCUUUCGUGCAUAUGACAAAAAAGAAAAAAAGGAAACGUUCAUACGUCGACGGUGCUCGUGUCCGUAUUCCUCUGGUCUAUCAGUGGGUAAAGAUGGCGGUCUCGUCGUUCGGUUGGUUCGUCGGUUGAGUGGUGAGAGGGGCAACUGUGACGCAACCUAACGUCACGUGAUCAAACCGUGGCUCUGCUCUCGCUGGGCCAGUGUGUGAUCUAACGUUUGUUACGGCAGUUGGUGGAAGAUAACGUCUGGAGAGUGCAGGGUAGACAAGAAGGAGUACUUUUUUUCGACGUUGCUCUCGAUGGUUCGCCCAUUGCCGACGCAACAACACCUUGAUCUUUUUCUCGGUCGCUAGGUCAGUGGGGGUGAGAAACUGGCUUGGCUCUCUGUGCUACGAUAGUCAGUCUUUUUCUCUCUCCUAUCGACCUCGCGACACAUCUCUAUCAACGUCAAUCGAACACGCUCCACUUUUACAAGAAGAUAUCACGUUACUUUCUCCUUUCGUACCUUUAUAUACUUUUUAAGAUUUCGGAAACGAUACGGUAUGCUGCAGGAAAAGGACGAAGAUUCUGCAUACGUGCGUGGGAUUAUUCAUUGGUUUCGUGGGCUCAGCAGUGAAAACCGUGUUCCCCCAGCUGUAAUGUACUCUGUUAAAAAGGCUCUGGGAUCAUGGAAAACACUGUGCGAGUACUGACCAUUCUUCAAACAUAUCGUCGUUUCUAUUCAUCGUUCUGUCUUUUUUCAGUUGCGUGUAUAGUCGAACGCAGCCGCGAGCGUACGCAAAUUAGUCUUCCGCUCGUUUGAAGCGUAAAGUACAGUGCACAUCCGUCGGCCGGAAAAUUUCAUUCGUAAAAUCGCGUUCAUCCGUACGUACGGAGGAGUCUAUGAUAAUAUUUUUCUUUAAUUUUUUUCGUUUGAUUGACAAUUUUUUCAAAUAUUGUAGCGUUUAAAAUCGCGCACGUUCUCUUAACGGUAGGAUUUAGACGAAUAUGUAGUAAAUCGAAUGGGUACACCUGCUUCGUCGAAUUGUCUUACGUAGCAGCUGAGUAACGCGGUCUCGAUCGUCGUUGCAAAGCCACUUUGUAAUUGCUGUGCAAUAUCCCUGCCGUUAGAGCGCCGUUCACCUCGAGCCUUCUGUACUUUCUAAAACCGCUUACUUUCGUAACUUAGCAAACACCGUCGGCCUCGUACCGUGUACCGUAUUGCUGCUGGUGAUUAUGGGCUUACAUUUUUUCUUUCUUCGUAAAGCUCUGCGUUGUCAUUUUUCAUAUACAUAAUAAGUGGAUAAGAGCGUACCUUUUUUUAACUCUUUAUGGAUGCUUCUUCGCAAGUUGAUCAAGUUUAUUGCUUCCUCGCACCGAUUAUUUCUUUUAUUUUUGAGAAAUUCGUUGGAUUCAUAUUUUUAAUGGUACGAUGCAACAAUUGUUUAAAAAGAUUUCAAACGUGUAGUUCUCGUAUGAAAAAUUUUAGAAAAUAGUUUGAACGUUUAACUGUCUUGCGUAGAUAAACAAACAUUUUGUUUCGUUACAUUUUAAAACGUAUCAUUUCUUGAGAGAAAAAAGUGUUUACGAUGUUUUUAUCGGAUCAGAGUUGGUAGAAGGGAGCUAUCGCAUAUCUUGUCACGAUUUUCACGUAAAAAGCGUAUGUAUAUACAAGCGAAAAGUUUGGAAAGUUACCACUCCUUAGGAAGAAUGAACAGGUAGGAGACGAUGAUGGAACGAACGAGAUAUACCGUGCGCGCACGUACAUGCAAGGAGGAAAGGGAAGUGGGACUGGCUUGCCUUGUGCUACUUUGUACGCGCGUACCGCUAUCGAGAUUGUAGUAUCGAUAUGUAUUUUGUACCGAUCUCGUAAUAUUUACCAGAUUUGUUCCUUCUUUCAGUACCAUCAACAUUGAAUCAUUGCUACUACCGAACAAUGCGCAUUAUAAAUCUGUAAAUGUUUGCACUUGAACCUUCUUUCCUUCUUUUACAAAACUUUCAAAGAAACUUUUGCUUUCGUUCGAUCACUUGGUUAUUACCACUUUAGCAUAACUCGAGCAUGAUUGGUUCGUUUCGGACAUGGUAGCGGAAGGAGGUACAUAAUUUCAUUGGCCGAUUUCGGAGGGUCGUAAAAGGAACUGGGAAAUGGCCUUGGGAGGGAAGGAUCCUAAGCCGUAAGUAUUGGUUAAAACCCAUGCAAAAACGUAAGUGGCGGGUGGUCAACAACCGCCAUUUUAUAGACGCCACCACAUUGCGGCCAUCUUUUGUAUAGUAACCGAAACGUUUCCAUUUCCAUUUGGGAUUGCUCGAUUGGCUCGAAUUCCAUUCACGCGCUAUCUAAUUUUACUCGUUGGCCUCGAAUCCGCUUCGCCAUGGCCUAUAGCGUGCUGUUCUACCUGAGUCCGAGGAAACACGCUUGCAGUUGAACUUCCCGAUUUAUUGCUAUUUUUAUUGAUUUCUACAAUUUUCAAUCUAAUAACAAUGAUUUUUAUUCACAAACCCAUAGUGCAUCUCGAUGUUGGCAAUUUAUUGGCAAUACCGAAUUUGUCUAAUAUCAUUCGCUUGUUAUUAAAUAUAGCGAUUCCACCGGAAGUAAUACGACUGUAUAUACGCGUAUGUAAUUGCUUGUUUAUAUUUAUAUCCGUAGGCGUAUACAGAUUGUUCUUAUAAGCAAUACAAUUUACGAUAAAUAUAUACGUACAUGUAAAGUAAGAUGUUCUAUGCAUGCGCACGUAAGAUAGAAAAGAGUUGUUUUUUGUAAUAAAUCGUUAGUUUUAUAAACUUGAAUCUUCUGCAAGAAUAUUAAGAAUAAACAUAUAUAUAUAAUCAGAAAACUUUAUUUGCUUCUUUUAAAAGACCACACCACUCUAGUUCAAUCUGCGGCUAACAUUUUUUUAGGUAAUUCACGUAUCAACAUGGUAAAAGGUUAUAAAGAUUUCCAGAACGUUUAUACCCUCCCCUUGGUAAUCUCGUUAACCGCUUCGGUAAAGGAUUAAACCUCUUUACGCGCAUCAAAUACAUAAUCCGAAACAAUGCUGGCUGGUGACUUGGCUCGUCUUCUUCGGAUUUCGACUUAAUCCACUAAAUAAGAGUUCCGUCCUCGCUGCAUCAUUCGCACGUUCUAUAACACCAGCGAUGAAAAUUCCACGCUACUCAUUAUGUACGCCAACUGGUUUUAACUGCCACAAUUUUUAGGCGAAACGUUUACGAUAGUCGCACAUCUGUUUAUCUAUAUACAUAUGUGGAAUAUACAUAAAAAGCACUCGUUCCAUAGCGACAUCGUCGAGGCGUCAGACUUCAUUUUCUACUUUCCGUCGUUUGAAAAUUCUCGUUGCCUGCGCCAAUGUUGUGGAUGACAUCAUUGCGAAACGGUUUGAACGGCGGGGAAAGGGGCAUCCGUAAAGAUCGUGGAUCAUCACGAAGAGCGGGUAAAGACGAAGAGUGUGUUGCGUGGCGGACAGGAGGGGGGUCGAGAAUGAAAAGGAAGACAUGGCUAGCGAUGGCCUCGAGACGCUUCGAAUUUUUUCCGCCACGCGGAACGGUACAAGUUCUCGAUUAGUUUAAACAGCGACGUGUAGUAAAUUUGAAUAAACGUAGUGCGCAACCUUGGUAGAAAGUGAUAAAUCUAUCGAGCUGUAACCACGUGGAAAGAAAUUAUAUAACGCUUCUCGUUCAUUGUAAUACGUACGGUAAAUUACGUUUAUUCGUUCGUAUAUAAGCAGAAAGGGAAACAUUUGUACGAUUCUCGAUCGAUCUUACGAAUGAUAUCAGAUGCAAGUUGUUGAAGAAAUUAAGAGGCAGAAUCGAACGACCAACGCUAGACACACAGAAGUCCUGGGCGGCUAAAGAGCAAGUGGGAGGAACGGAGAAUGGAAGAACAGCGAAGAGAGAACGACCGAGGUCUUUCUACGUAGAAAACUUACAGAGGGGGGAGAGGAGAACGAAACCGUGAUGUGAUAUAAGUAUGAGAAUUCAGCGGUGGGGUAGACCAGGCAACCAGGCCUUGAACGAGCGAAAAAGAACAGAAAGCUUCGGAUCCUUUAUAAUACGCUACACAAACUACCGCUUCAUAAAGUUGCACGAAAAUCGACUACCGCAUCUUCCGUUACCAAAUCGUCGUUUCCACGCUUCGUCACUGCGAUUUUUAACGAUUUGGACGUUGUCUCGUUACGAAAACUAAAGACAUGCCCAGAAAUAGAAAGUUACACGUCCAAGUUUCUUUUGACUCGAAUCACGCGCAUAAUUUUAAAGCGGCUAAGCCGAGAGUUAAAUUCGAACCAUCGCUACUUCGAAGUUUGUAUAAGCUGUCGCUGUGGGAUUAUCCGAGGCGAUUAAACCCACGCGAUAUUUCUAUUUUGAUUACCUGAAACGAGCGUUACCCGGAGCGAACUUGAAUUUUAAUGAUCGUGCACGCAUCCGUAAAAUUGACGUUACGCAAGAAAGACCGACCUAACCAGCCUCGUUCACAAAAGUGUGCUUUCUAAAAGUGUCGUAACGAGAUAUAGUCGUUCAAAACUGGGAGAUGCUUCUUCUACAAGUAAGCAACCAUCGAGGAAAGCAGGCUAAGUUUCUACGACACUGGAACAAUGAUCGAGCGCAUUAAGAAUUAUAAGGAACUUUUCCGGAAGUGCGUCAGUAGAAUACCGACAAUGCAUAGAACGGCAGUGGCAAGAAAAAAAAAAAGAAGAAAGGAUAGCCCGAGGAGAAAGAGAAACAGAAAAAUAAGAAGAGUAUGGUUAUCGUCGGAAAUUCGAUAACGGGUUGUAUAACCACAAUUAUAUCAAACCGUUAACACGCCAUCGGGAUUCGUAUCCUGUUUUAAGACGCUCGAAAAAUGUCUGCGUUUUCCUUUCAUUGGGCGUCAUCGUAGCCGUGAAACUUUUUCUACCUAUGCCGCGAACAGAAAUGAGGAAGAAAAAGAGAGAAGCGAAGGAAAAAUGUCUUACCUUUUAACGUUACGAUAUUUACGAACGUCAAACGAAACACGUAUCGCUACGUCAAAGGUUGCUAAGCUCCGUAACGUUUUAUUCGGACGAUUACAUUUAUCCUCGUGACCGUGUAUCGACCGUGUAACUUUACGUUGUCCGUACCGAAGUUCAUACAUUUUUCAUCGGUUAGCUAAAUUUUAAAUAUCGUCGAUAUAUUGCGAUAUAUAGCUUGUCUGUCGAACUCAGUGGAAAUAAAGUCCUUUCCUGCUGUUCCGUUGCGUUUUCCUGGAACUAGAUCCUGGCUUUAUCGUCAAGCUGCGACUGUGUACGACGCGACACCUAUAGAAACGACAAUUCUACGUAGACAGGUAAAUUAUUUUUCGAUGCCGUCUCUGCGAGUACGAAAGUCUUCUCGCGUGAACGGGAUCCAAUCGUAUAGAAACAUAUAAAUCUCGAUUCGAUUUAUCCUCAACUUCGUAUCUUCGUAAACUCGAGAAAAUAUGUUGAAAACAGCUGAAACAGAGAUCUCCAUUUUGAUAAAGUGAAAAGUACGAUAAACCGGAUGGUGUAUUGGCAAAGAUGUUUCCUCGGAAGGUUGAAAAAUCUUCUAAUUGUUUGAACCGAUGAAACAUUCCUCAAAACAAUAGUCGUACAAUAAAAAUGGUAUCUACGCAGAGACAAAAGCAUUUGAGGAGACGAGAUGAGUGAUCGAAGCGGCGCGAAACGAAGCAACGGAGGAAAAGGAAAACGAAAGCGAGGACUUCCGGUGGGGAGAGAAAGAACGAGGGAGAAGAGAGCAAAGAGAAGGAAGUGUUUGCGAGGCGUGGGAGAGGGCGUCUCCUUUGACGGAGCGAGGCCACGCAGUGGAGAGAGGAUUUUACGAAGCAGCCUGUUCGUGCUUCUAUCCUCACCGAAAACCCACCCCAACUUUCACCCUCGCAGCACGCCCGGACGACUCGAUGCUCAAAGAUGGCCGCCUAGCUGGCUAGGAGGUCACCGGGUGCCUCGCUAGACCACGCCCUACACUCGCCAAACCCGACGGCUUUCCAUCGGCCGAUUUAGCUUCCACAGCCAGUAUCAAGGGCGCUUCAAGGACGAAUGCCAUUCUGCUCCUUGAAGAAAAAUCGUAGCUCCCUCGCUGCGAUUGUUUCUUCCCGGAAAUUGCGCAAUCACGCCGUUCGUUAGCGUCUUGGUGUAGUCUUUCUUAAUCGGCCUUCCUCGUUUUCCGUUAUGUGGCACGUUAUUCUCGGGAAACGAUGGAAAGUACCACCUUCUAUCCAUCUUCGUUAAAUCUACGAAAUUCUCCUUUCCGUCUAGACUUCGUUUCCAAGUUUUCAAUUCGAAGCGUUCGCGAUUUCUUAUCUUUCUUCGAUGUUACUUUUGUUUGGAAUACGUAGCCUGUGAUGUCCGAUGUUCGUUAUAUUUAUUAGAAUGGAAGAAGACGUUUAUCAGCGGUAUCGAUCUCUCGCCUUUUUUUUCACGAGAUCCUGUUACAAAUAUGGGAUAUGGCAGCCGUUGAAGGAACUCAACGGCCAAACGGAUACGUGUGUUACGCGUAACAAACAAUUACGGAAUUCAAAGGAACACGACUGGCUAUCGAAAGAAAUACGUGUGCGCAGAGAAGCGGGCUGAGUCACCGAGACGUAUCGCGAGCCCCUCCUCCCCCUCCUCUUGUCUAGAACUAAAUAGGUUUUUGGAGCGUGAGCUUUUUCGGGACAAAAUCGAUCGACCUGUUUCACUGGCCUAAUUACUGGCCGACGUUCUACCGCCGGAGUUCUCGUUCUCGUACGUGUAAACUUGCCGCCUCUGUACAUUUUGAUACGCUCUGCAAACUCCACCACAGCGACAAACGUGAGUGUGUCUGUGUGUACCAAGUUCUCCACUCUGACAAAAGAGAACAGGAUUUACGCUCGCUAAUACUCGAAAGAUAAGUAAUUGGCAAAGUGUAUCGCCAAGUCCGAGUACGAAGAUAGUGGCGCCAAACGGAAAGAUGUAACGCUCGCGUAAUCGAUGGUCGGACGAAUAAUGCUCACGCGAUCUAGUGGAACGUAGCCUUGUAAAAUUUCACGGCGACUAUCUCUCUAAACAUCAUACGAGGAAAUUUCUCGCAGAUACGUCUAAAUUUAGACAACGUUAUUUCCUCUACUAGGUUGCUCGUUCCGCGAAAAUGAGACAAUAAAUGUCAAACAACUUGAUUUCGUGGAAUAACGGCACAAUUUACUCGCUAUAGCCACUAAAAUGUUUCCCGAUAAACAGUCCCUCCAUCUACCAUCACGAUAUGUUAACUGGCUUACAGCGCUAUCCGGUAUACGCACUACGAGUCGAACGAUAAAUAAUAUGUAUGGAUUCAUUCAUUCAACUGCAACUAACCGGUGUCCUUUUUUUUUAAUGAACGGCAAAAGAAAUUGCUGUUUCUGCCUCGCGUAAGUAACAGGUUACAACCAUGUUUAAUAGCAAGUGUAUUUCCACACGUGCAAGUUGCACGUGUACAUUCGACGUAGAUGAUACAUUCGUUUCUCUUCUCCUUUUUCAAUAUCGUCCGAGUUUUUUUCGAUAUUGCUCCCAUGGUACGAGGCGAAUAUACACGCGCGAUAUUUUCCAAGUACGAUAGUACCCGCGUCAUUUAUUUCGCAAACAACUUCCCCCGAGCGACGCCGCCAAGAUAUCCCCUCAUUAGCACCCCUACGAGCUGUGCGUCUUCACCUGUCUUUCAAUUACAUCUCUGGCUUCCCUCGCCGGGAUUGCUCGUUAUCCUCGGAAACCGAGGCGGGUUACGUAAUGCGUGCUAUAAUGGCGCGAUUAUCGUGCGUGUGAGAUAGAAUUUUUAAGAACCGAGAAGUUGGAAUAGGAAGAAAAGAAAAAUAGCGCUGAACUAACGAGCGGCGCUGCUUCAUCGUCGGUAAGCAGAAUUUUCAAGGAUACUUGAACGCUGUUUUCUAAGACUUUAUGAAAAGAAAAGAAAAAAAAAGUCAUUCGCUGAUCGAUAUAACUAAUGAAAUAACCGACCGUUUUGGGAUCGACGACGCACGAGUAUAAUAUAGUCUUGAAUCGAGCGAAAGGAGGUGGAGCAGGAAACGUAAAAGAUAGUAAAGGAGAGGGCGCACUAGUGUCGGAGGAGGGACAGAGGUAUUUCCGUUGUUGCAGAGUCUAUCCAUUUGGCAGGUUUAUCAAAGGGUAUGUGGACGCGCACGCGCGCUCGCAUGUGCCCACCUACCUACUUACUUACUUACCUACCUGCAUCUUAGUUUGCCUGCUUGCCAGCCAGCCUCUUCUCUAGCUGCUCUCUGGUUGCUCGAUUCUCCUGGCCUGCCUGGCUGCUUGCCUGCUAAGCUGCCGGCCUACCGGUUUGCCUUGAUCCCUUGAAUAGCCAGGAGGUGGGUUGGAAGGUAGGUACGGCUUUCUUACGUAAGCGCUCCACUAGAGAGCGAGUUAUCGUGGCAGGGUCGAACAGAUGAAUCGACACAGAGAAACAGAUUUCCAGAGAUCCAUCGACCGAAUUCUUUCUCACCGAGUUUAGACGCUCUUCCGAAAAAUCGAAGCGAAUCGUUUCGCUGUAUCAUCUGUGAUAUUCCAGGCGAUCGAUUUAACUUUGAAAAUUCGAGUCGACUUGACAGAUCUGUUUCGAAGGGAAAGCUUGAAUUUGUUCAUCUACUACGCGUCGGUAGGCAAUCCGGUUGAUUAGCAGGUCUACCAACGAUGAAAUGUAACGAUGUCUAGUUAUUUAUUGAUCAGCGGCGUGGACGAUGAGGCAAACCUAGGGCGAUUCAUCGUGUACUGUCAAGGCCGAGAACUUCCUCCUUUCGUUCUUCGACUCGAUUAAUCUUGCGAAGGAAACGCUCAAUCCGGAAGAAUCGAGGCAGGGACAGCAAUAUCGAGACGAACGACGCGUAUCGUCGAUGGUGGAGCAUUCCGCCGAUGGUCGCGCGGUUCCUAAGCGGGCCAACAACAUCGCUAUGAAUCGUACUCGGCCGGAGUACGGCGCUUGUGCCGUGACACAGAUAUCACGCCCUCUCUCCAACCCCCUUCGCAAUAUCCCUUGCUUUCAUAGCCGCUGCAAACUGGGCCAGUGCAUCUAUGAAACGGACGCGUAAAUUUACUGGAUCAACUUUAACGUUCAUCUCCGCAGAGCUAAAUAUUAGGGUCGCGUUCCUCGCUCCUCGCUAGCCGCGACGUUUUCUCCGCUACCUUUUUCCUCCUUCUCCUCCUCUCAAUGUUCCCAUCUGCCGUGCUCUGUAUUUUCGAGGCCAAAUUCUUCCUUCCACGCGUAUUUCUUUACCUUUGACUCUCACAUAAUGCACGUAACGUACCUACAAAAUACGAAACGAACGAGCAUCUCGAUGCACGGAAACGCGAGUAAUAAAAGAGGAAGAGAUCGCCAAGCGUCCCGAAGAUCGUUUCGAAGACGAACAGACACAUUCAUCUGGCCGAUCGAGCCAUGAAAAUUUCAAGGUAUGCGGAUAGACCUGUUGGGUGUCCGUUGUGGCUAGUGCAGCGUUGCAGCCGUAUUUUUCCAUAACGAGACUGCCGUCGCGUCGGAUCAGGAGGCGCAAUUGUGGAGGUUAGAAUCACGCGUGCGCGACCGCUCGCGUUCUCUCGCGUAUCCAUAAUUGCGCCGCUUCCUGCGCGUGAAUACCGUUGUCCUACAUUUCGGUAAGUACGCCUCCGUCGCGUUAUUUUACGAACUAGGUCGAACGACUCGGCCGUCAUACCGCGCAAGCCUAAUCGUCGCGAGUCUGCUGGCCUACUGCUCGCUUCUUUCUUUUCACCGAUCGACCGCCCGCUGUUUUAUCGCACCCUUAUCACCGUGCCUCGCCAAUCAUAAAUGGUACACUGAUCUAGUUAGAAUAUUCUUUCGUUCAACGAUGCCACGGCAGUUGGUGCCUGUCAUCGAAACUCUUUCUUCUUCUUCUGUUUCUUCUUUCGUUUCUCCUGCGUGUGCGUAUCUCUACACAGCUUAAAGGAAACUUCGUCAGAACGCCUGAAACGAUACCGUCUGUGGAGAUUAGGGUUAGGUUGAGGUUAGGUUUGAGAUUCGCUUCGAGCAUUGAUAUCUGACAAAACACCUGCGAGAAAUUGGGCGAUUACGUUGUUGCGUCGAAAACACUUUUAGACCCGCUUGACACGGGACUUGAAAUCGUAACGUAGUAAACCUCUCAUCGUUAUUGCUAUCCGGUGUAAUUACGGCUCACUCGUACUUCCGAGAUCUUCCUCGCAGAAAUUGCUGGAAACAUUUAUUGUUCUCCGCGUUCUGUUGCUAAGACCAGUGUCUUCGGUCUCGAUAGAAUCUCGUAGCACAAAACGUAACAACGAUUUCUAUCUUCUCCAAGAUGAAACACAUCGGAUCGCGUUGAAAGACGUGUCGUUACUUCUGAGUUUCCUAACCUAUAUACCUGACAGUUUUCAUAAAGGCACGGGUUUGCAAGGUAAAAACGAUGCAUUGCGUCAUCGACUGUGAAAACAUUCGCGUGUUUUCCGAGAGAAUGGCAAGUGCAGGGAUAGACCGACCCGCGAGCGUUCGUAACGAACGUUCUAAGCUGCGAAUCUGCCGCUACACGGAAGCGCGGACCCUUUCAGAGGAAGCGGACUUUCGCCCUAGUGAAUCCGCGCACCGGUGGAUCAUCGUUAAUUUUAGAGGGCAGCAGCGGCCUUCGAGCAACGCAGCUCGGUCUCUCUUUUAACGAGCAUCGAUGGGAACGAAUUUCUCUCGCUGCCUAUUCCUCGUAAUUAUUCCACCUUUCGGUUUUUCUUCCUCCGUCCUUCGACCAACUUCCUAGUCGAUAUUAAACGCGCAUCGACUUCGUUAACCCUGCCUUCCCAUUACCGCGGCAAUUCCGCUAAAAAUGCUUAUUUCUUGAAACACGCCUGAUUCUAGCCGUCUCUUAAAUACCGUGUAUACGUCGGCAUUUCGUUGUUUCACGCGAGGAGGUCUGGUUUUUGGUUUCGCAUAUUAUUCGGCCUGUCUGGGAGGAAUCUUUGCCUCGAGUACUCGUCCUUGGUGAAAACUCGUUAAACAAUGAUUAUUCUUGAAAAUCUAUACUUAUCGAUAAGGAUAUUUUGUUUUCUUACAGCAAACAAAUAUGAUACACGUACGUUAGGAACCUGUAUCACGCGUUAGCAAAAUGACGUGACUCUUAAGUUUUUUAAUUUUCAAUUUCAAUAUUUGGAAUUCUAAAUGUUUCAAUAAUACGACGCACGUCGUUCAUUUGGUUUUUAAAGGUAGGAAAUGCGGCGGAGUGACGAUGAGCAUAUCUACGGUGAGUAUGUUUUCGCAACGAAGAUAUUUCAACGACCGAGACGCGGUGAAAUUUUUGUACGAUUUUGCUCCGGCCACGCCGGACCUUUUCGGACUAAUUCUCUGCCUGGAUGUGAAUGCGCACACACAUAUACACUCGCGUAAAUAUACACAGGCGGUACUCUCUGGCGAUUCUUACGUAAUCGCAAGAUAGACUUAGCGAUAUUUCGUUCUUUUAACGCCGCUGAACGCUCGAGCUGUUUUUACGUCGUGAUCGGACAAGCGAUUCUCAAAAUGUUGCGUGUAGCAUAUAGGUAAGUAUACGUGUGUUCAGACGAACUUCCCGUGCGAUGAAUCGAAAAUAACGAUGAAAUAUUACUUACUUGUAUAGGUAUAUUGUCGCUAAAUAAAUCCAAGUGUAUAAUUUUACCAGAUAAAUUUCGCUGUGCUGAGUUGCUGGUUUGUUUUUGAAUCGUUCGUCCGAUUAGAACUUGCUUAAGCCACUACCUUACUUCGAGCACGAUAAGCAAAAAAGAUUCUUAUCGCGUUGUAACAGGAUGCGCGAAGAACAUAAGAUCAAGAUCACCACCGGUUUCUGCUAUAAAAAAUUUUCCAUUCGAUCUUCCUGCCGUUUGGGAAGAAAAAUUCUAAUUUUCUAUAUUUGUUACUUGUCUUGGUGUGCGUAUGGGUAAUAAAUAUAUCUCGAAACCAAGGAACAAAUCAUCGACAGAAGAAAUUGUUCGCUAUUGAAAACGACGGGUGACCCUGGACAGAAAAAUAGUCGAAUUGUUCGCACAAAGAUGUCCUGACGUAACGCUGCAGCCAUGAUGCAAGUACAUACUUACUACAUACCUACUACAAGCACAUACCUACAUACGCAUUAAGUAGAUACGAGUUCGUGCGUAAGUACAUACAUUGGAACGACGAGACCACGCUUACAAUUACGUUUGCUGAUUUUGUGAUCAUAAAUUAAUACGAUUCCAAAUAGAUGCGACACGACUACGCGCGCCGUAUUCCAUGGGAAUAUAUGUAUGUAUGUAUAUUGAAUUCGCGUGUAUACACCCGCCUCUGAAGGUAGCGUAACACAGUGGUACUCACCGCGAAAAUUAUCCGUUGCUACUCUACGUCUUAAUCCGUCGCGUUAGUAACAGUCAGCGUUUUCUGUGAAAUGAGAGACUCGUUGAUAUUAAAAUACGAUUUGACGUUCAUGGAAGCGGAACGCAAAGACUUUCACGGUGUGCAAUUUCCAUUGUCUUCGUAUUCAAAAUUAGACAGUAAACGUACCGAAUAAAUAAUUAAGUAUAACAUUUUGAAUAUUCGUUCGACUAGCGACCGUCAUUUGAAGUAUAUACGUAAUUUAAAAUUCAAGUAUGCACAUCGGAAAGGCAUUGGUUUCGUAGGAAGAAUCGACUGAGGGAGAAGGCGUCGUUGCGGAAAGCAAUUGGUCGAGCAAGUGGAAAUAUCCAAGAUCCAGCGAGAAAGGCGCGCGUGUACGUUGUCUCGAACGACACCGAUUUCCAAGUGGAAAAACCAACUGUUACCAACUGCGGUUAACGCAUAUUGCGUGCACAUUCCAUGAUCGUUCGUUCGUGCGAUCUACACACGGAGGAGAAACGAUAUUCGAAGAAUCCCUUUGACCGUGGCACGAGCAAACUUUCGAGAAUUUGAUCGGCAUGGCAGCGAAAGAGUGAGCAUAGCUCGGUGAGUACCACUGUUGUAGGGCGAUCAUGCGCGCUCUUCCAGCUCUACGGCAACCAACCCCCGCGGCUUGCGUCGCCUAUCUAGCCUUCUGUUAGUUGCGUAACGCUGCAGAGUCAUGCGAUAGGAUAGUACUGUCGUGGCGCGACUCACGAACACGGACGAACAUGGUCGAACGUGCACGAACGUGGACGGAGAGGAACGAGGAAAAACGAACGGCACAGAGGAAACGAACCGAGCAAGACGAACGGACGUGCGGACGUACCGAUAGAUCCAGAGAGAGGAAGAAGGAGAGAGAGAUGGCGAGCGCGCGAGGUUAGGGGAAAGGAGAAGAUGCUUCGUCUUUGGCGAGGACGAAAAGAGUGUAGAACGUAGAACGUAGAGUGUAGGUAGAGUGCAGAGAAGAGAUGGUUCAGCCUUGAAACGCGCCGCGAGCGGCUUCGUCGCGAGUUCCGUGCACGAACGCCGACUCGCGGAUCGUGUCGAAUCGUUUUUCCGAUUUUUUUCCCACGUCUCGGCAGCUCGCCGUUGUUCGUGCCACCUGGUACCGUUACUAUUGCCCGUCCUAUCAGGAUUUUCGUGUUCCCUUGAUCGAGCAGCGUUACCUUCUAUUUUACACACGUUUUAUCUUUUCCCUCGCACGCCGUUCGACACUUUCGCGACUACGUGAAUCGAUUUUUAAUUCGUAUAUACCGUGAAUUCUAUCGUCUGCGAUAGUUGCACGAACGAAAGCUAUUGGAUAAACGGUAUUGCUCGGUUUUCGUUUCGAUGCGAAACGCGUACGAAUUAGAGAGCAAGUUAAAAAUUAAACGUGACGUUCCGCUAUCCUCGAUCAAGUCUUAGAUCAAACCGAAAGCAACUUUCUGACAACGGUAACCGUACCCAUUAACGUACCUGAAAUAACGUAAUUUAUCGUUGCAGACAGUUUUAUCUGGUCCAUGGUAUCGGGAAUGAAUAGUCCGCCGGUAAAUUUAUCGAGGAAACCAUGAAUCGACUGAAUGCGUAUAUCAUCAAUGCGAUAAGGAACGUAUCGCUUGGGAAUCCUCCAUAAGCGAUCUCUUUCGAGUUUUCCGAUUGUCGCGUGCGUUUCGCAAUCUUCCAACCUGACUUGUAAGAUAUUCGCGGUCGCGACUAGGUUUUCUCCGUAGAGCAUCGGAUGCAAAGUUCCUAGAAGUACCGCGAUAGAUAAAAAUAGAUAAAAGCGACGGCAUCGGUGGCCCGUUGGCGUUCUGGGAACGCUUUCGUCAAUCAGGGUCACGAGUGCACCGAUGCGCCUCGUUAUGUCUAAAAGCAGUUUCGUGUAACUCCGAGGAAACGAAGGUUUCGUUCAACGAGUGUACGUCUACCGUACUGACCUAAACACGUUCUAGAUGACAAUGCUUUGAUGGAAACGCAUUAACCAACUGAAUUAUCGUGUCAGUUACUUGGUUUCCGCAUUGUUCUUUGUUAUCUCUACCUUGGUACAACGUUACCGAAGUUUACCGAAGGGUAUUUUCCAUUUGCAAUCGAUAGGUAUAUAUUUAAUCAUUUCUGUCCCAGGGAGCGUGUCGCAUAUUUAAUUCGUCGAAAUAAGAAAGCUGAACUAUCAUUUUUAAACGAAAAGAAGAAUUCGUAGGUCGCUUGCAAAAACCUCGAUAACCGUCUCUCUUUCUCGCGUAUACGUCGAUCGACCGAGCUCGACUAUCUUUCGUAAUGAUGAGGUGAAAAGAAAAGACAGGGUGGUCGCGUUGCGUUGGUGGAAAGAUAACAGAGCGCGAGUGUGAAAGAAAACAGUGUGCAAUCAACGGUAUGCAUAUACGACACUUUUCGCAUAAAGUUGCGAAAUCGUGCCGCGCGCAAGCAAAAGCAAAAACUAAGCGACUUUUUUUCAAUGCUUCGAUAGCAGUUUGCUUUGUCGAACGUGCACGACUUAUUUCUUAAUCCACGAUCGAGGGAGCCAAUGUUGAAACCAAGCUUUGCUAAGGACGUGCCCUAUAUUGCUGUAUGUACGUACAAGUACGUUGUUGCAUAUUUAUACGUAUAUCUGCAAAUACGGUUCGUCCCGAUAUUACACCUGGAAAGAUAACAAAAAAACAAUUUGGUUUAAAUAAAGUGGUCAAUCGUCGAACAGUCUUUUCGAAGAAAAAGAUUGUAGUGAAAAAGCAAAAGAAAAUACAAAACACUCGUCGAGUAAGAUGAGCAUGAGCGUAAAGAGGUUAGGUCGAAGAAGUCUGGGAAAGUAGAGCACAGGGAAAUUGGAGGAAAUGCAGUGAGAGGGAGAAAAUAGGAGAAAAAAAUUGCGGGAAGAAGGGCUGGGACGACGACAAAGUGGAAUGAAAGCGAGCGCGAGGGAGGCGGAAGUCGAAAGGUGAAGGAAGGGGAGAGGAAAAACGCGGGCGUAAAGAAAAGGAAAGGAAACGAAGGGAAACAGAAAGAAACGCAUGGCACGAGAAGGGUAGCUGGUUUCGACUUUGUAGUAGGCCUCGAUCGAUGCUGUUACCAUGGUUACAGGGCAGUACCGCGGUGCUCUACUACUGAUUAUUUAUGUCAAGGAUCCCUCCCUGCUUCGAAGCUCGCAGCGCAAACUGAAACGCGAAUCACCCUAACCGGAGUGGCGAUGGUCUUUCGAGUCUCCCUCUCGCAAGAUUUCCAACAAUUUUUUCACACCGAGUUUACACGUUGCGAACUUUACUCAAUUUUCGUUCUAGAAACCCGAAUUCGCUUUGUCGAAUCAAUCUUAUUUUCAAUUUCGUCUUCGAAAAUUUCUUACCGACAAAUCAGGCGAACGAUAAAGUCUCGCACUCAAACUCCAAACUGAAUCGAGUACGAUGUUAUCGAAAACGCAGAAUUAUUCGUUUAGAUGGAUCGGUAGCUUAGUGAUACUACAACUAAAGUAAAUGCGAAUUUUUAUACUAUUUAUACAAUUAUUUAGCGUUGCUAACUUUGUGAUCUAUGUAUGUAACUACAUAUGUAUACAUGUAGAUAGAAAAACGUCUCGCGAAAUCUAGCUCGUGAAGCAGAACGGGGUUUCUUCGAGCGAUUCAACAGCCACGGGAAACCAAUAAAAGUUAAUGACUCGAUUUAAGUGGUUUCACAGAACUUUUCCUUUCUUUCGUUUUUUUUCUUACAGUGAAAAAGCUCUAAGAAAGAUGUGAACUAAAACGAACAUAUGUACUUUAUACGGUCUCCAAGAUCGGUGCCUAUCAGUUAUCAAGCAAUUUGUUUCUUUUACGAAAUCCCAAAGUUUCCUAAACUUUUGAUAAAUCAAUUUUCAGUGUUUUAAUCGUCCAGAUAAAUAAAAGAUAUACGAGUUUGUACGUCGUAACCCAAGUGAUAGGUUAUGUCUAUUCAGCCAUAAUUUAAAAGAACUUUAACGUUACAAAAAGUAAAAAAGACAACAUAAAGGAAUAGGGGUUCUUGUAAGAAAUGAGAUAAUAAGAUUAUCGGAUCAGAGGAUCAUAAGCCACCGGUAAAUUUUUUAAUGAAUUGUCUUAAAUGCGUUGAAGCGAAGAUUAGUUGGCAUUUAAAUGAUGGCUAUUAUUAAUGGCAAGUGACGACUGGAGAUGGAGCUUCGGUGCUCUUUUUAGAGCGAGCAGGACGGAGUAGAAUACGCAGAGGGAAGUAUUCCCGCUGGGAAGGAUGCUUUCGACCCAGUUUCACCCUUCCAUGGUGGUGGAACCGUCAUGAGCAAUCGAUACUGCGUCAAGAGCCACGACGUCGUGCUCUAUCAUUAUGAAAGAUAUUGCUCUACCUUGCGCAGAAACGACAAUUAAACGCGAGUAAAAUGA